rnacentral:misc_RNA from 1 species
GUUUAACUAAAGCAAUUCGGGCAACUGCAGAGAUUGUGUCAUAGCAGAGGAAACAGAAUUGGUUCCAAUAAUUUAAAUGACAAAAGGAGAGAUGAAAAUCAAAACAGAGGUAUUAACAGACUUGGUUCCAAUAUUUACAGGACAAAAGGAAAGGUCAAAAUCAAAACAAAGGUAUUCUUCUGCACUCAACAAAAUAAUGAAUCUCUACUGCAAAAUUCACAGAGAUUCUUGAACAGCUAGCUAUGCAUUUCCCUUUAACUUUUUAUGAUUUCAACUACAAAUUAGACUCGAUAAUACCAAGCAUUAUUCUUUUGAAUUCACAUAUCAAGGCCUGCUUAAAAAGUCCACAUGCUGAUGAUAGAUUUACCAAGGUUGGUGCAUUAUCUAGUUUUAAUUUCCCACCAAUCAAUAGAAUCAGGGGCAGUUACGGUUCCUGAACCGCCGGUUUAGGUUCAAUGAAAUCAUGAAUUUGAACCAAAUCGUCAGGGGACGGUUUUGAAGACGGUUCCUAAACCACUGGUUCCGGUUCGAGCCCCGGUUUAAAACGGUUUAAAGGACGGUUCAAAAAAUAACAGUUUAAGACGGUUUGGAGGAUGGUUUGGAAGUGGUUUAAGAGCGACUUAAAGGAACAAAUUAGAGGAAAAUUUUAUUGAUUUAGAAUCUAAGUUAUUUGUAAAAAUAUCUUUCUUAGAAAUCUUUCAAUCAAA